rnacentral:lncRNA from 1 species
CUGGUCUGUUACUUAAGUUCCCCAAAGCUGCCCCUAAGAGUUCUUCUGGGCCCUGGUAUUUGCACACAGAAUCUAAAUAUUUGCAAGAGUUCUUGCCCUUGCUCUUUCCUCCUCUGCUGGCAAAGUCAAACAUCACUGAAUCUCCGCCUCUGCCACCAGCAUGGCGGGAAUGCUGGCUGAUCGUUGGGAUUCAUUUAUUUAUUCUGCUGACAACAUCCAAUCUUAAGCAAGGGUCACUGUUUAUUUGCUCGCUCACCACUCGCUGACGCUCAUGUACAACAGGCACACAUCUGGACCUCCACAGGCGGAUCUCAGCAAAUACAGGUGACUCAACAUGCUCUGGCGUACACAGCACGGAAUGCUCGCCCCGGGUAGGAAGGAGGAAACUCUGACAGGAGUGCUGGGGUGUCACAGCCAGCAGUAGGUGGGUUGCACGUGGCAGGAAGAUGGAGAACACAGAGCUCUUCACUUCGUAACAGAUGGAGCAUCGCCAGUCUGUGUGGGAAAUAUGCCACUGCUAAGAAUAGGCCAUUUUGGUGGAAUCUUUGCUGCGAAAUUGGGGAUCAGUGCAAGUUAUACUUCCCACCAACUGAUGUAUAUGACAGCUUGGGAGGAAAAAUUAUGAAGAAGACUAUGGGGAAAACGGACAUCCAUAUCCAAGGUGGAAAGAAACCCACAUUUAAGGACUAAUCAGUUUUUUGAUAAUGUGUUGAAUUUUUAUUUGAAUAUGAAGAAUUGACUAAGGGCAAGAGUUUAUAUUGACUAGUAUUGUACAAUCUAAUUUUAGACUUCCUGCCUUUAUGUCCUCUCUAAUGCUUGUGUGUUAUUUAACUUCUCUGAUCCUCAGUUUCCUCUAUUGUAAAACUGAACUAUUACUAUGGUAUGAAGCAAAGGAUUGUUGUGUAUCUAAUAUUAUAAAAUAUAGAGGGCAUUGUAGGCACGUAAAAUCCCACUAAUAAAAGCAAAAUUGAAGAGAUUUUAAUGCCUUUCAUGUGCAAGGACAAAUACCCUACGGACACCAGCAGGCAUCCUUCCCACUCCA